rnacentral:rRNA from 1 species
UACGUAGGGGGCGAGCGUUGUCCGGAUUUAUUGGGCGUAAAGAGCGUGUAGGCGGCCAGGUAGGUCCGUUGUGAAAACUCGAGGCUCAACCUCGAGACGUCGAUGGAAACCAUCUAGCUAGAGUCCGGAAGAGGAGAGUGGAAUUCCUGGUGUAGCGGUGAAAUGCGCAGAUAUCAGGAAGAACACCCGUGGCGAAGGCGGCUCUCUGGUACGUGACUGACGCUGAGACGCGAAAGCGUGGGGAGCAAACAGG